GAUGAACGCUAGCGGGAGGCUUAACACAUGCAAGUCGAGGGGCAGCAUAGGGUAGCAAUACUCUGAUGGCGACCGGCAAACGGGUGAGUGACGCGUAUGCAACCUACCCUGUACAGGGGGAUAACCCGGAGAAAUUCGGACUAAUAUCCCGUAAUAAUAUCCGGAGGCAUCUUUGGAUAUUUAAAGUUCCGACGGUACGGGAUGGGCAUGCGUAACAUUAGCUGGUUGGUAAGGUAACGGCUUACCAAGGCUAUGAUGUUUAGGGGUCCUGAGAGGGUGGUCCCCCACACUGGUACUGAGACACGGACCAGACUCCUACGGGAGGCAGCAGUGAGGAAUAUUGGUCAAUGGGCGCAAGCCUGAACCAGCCAUCCCGCGUGCAGGAAGACGGCCCUAUGGGUUGUAAACUGCUUUUCCAGGGAGAGAAACUUACGCACGUGUUGCGUGACUGACGGUACCCUGGGAAUAAGCAUCGGCUAACUCCGUG
rnacentral:rRNA from 1 species